UACGUAGGGGGCAAGCGUUGUCCGGAUUUAUUGGGCGUAAAGAGCGUGUAGGCGGCCCGGUAGGUCCGUUGUGAAAACUCGAGGCUCAACCUCGAGACGUCGGCGGAAACCCUCUGGCUAGAGUCCGGAAGAGGAGAGUGGAAUUCCUGGUAUAGCGGUGAAAUGCGUAGAUAUCUGGAGGAACACCGGUGGCGAAGGCGGCAUCCUGGACCAACACUGACGCUGAGUGAGCGAAAGCCAGGGGAGCAAACGGG
rnacentral:rRNA from 1 species